ACCUACCCAGCUGCAUGGAUUCAAGGGACAGGGCGCUGGGACCCGCUUACUACUAUUCCACUUCUGAUGGGUCACUGGAAGUGGAGUGCCUGGAGCUGUAGUUCUUUUUGCGGUGGUUUUUAAUGCAGAGAAAGACCAAAGAGUUUAACAAGUCAACACUGCCUAAGCCUAUUUUAAUGCCCGGCCUCUAUACAGAUUAACCAGGUGAAGACUUCGGGGCUAGAUAUGAAUCCUUCAGGUAUUUCUGCAGCAGAAGGUGGAGGUAUUUGAGCAAAUGGAGCUGCUGGUUUAAACAAUGUGCACAUUUUCUAGAGCAUACCUUGUGUAUC